rnacentral:lncRNA from 1 species
AAAUUCACUGGUUUUGGCUUAUAUUCGAAGGAUUUGGUUUGGGUUCCGGAAUGGGGAGGUCAAGGAGAUUGUAGGGUGUAAGUUUGGUUGGAUUUGGGAAAAUUUUGGUUUUGAGACAGAUCUUCAAACGAAGAUUCGAACAGGUGUGGUUUGAUUCGAGGGAAACGGGUUGUAUGGUUGGAAAGCGGAGGCUGUGGAGAGCCAAUGGUGUUUUUGGGGUAGGGUUUGGUCACCGGCUCUGCCAUUAUCGAUGAAGGAAUAUCAGGGCAGCGGUCUCUAGGGUUUGAAGAGAG